rnacentral:rRNA from 1 species
AGCGGGAAAAGCUCAAAUUUAAAAUCUGGCGUCCUCCGGGCGUCCGAGUUGUAAUCUGGAGAAGCGUUUUCCGCGUCGGACCGUGUACAAGUCUUCUGGAACGGAGCGUCAUAGAGGGUGAGAAUCCCGUCUCUGACACGGACUACCGAUGCUUUUGUGAUGCGCUCUCGAAGAGUCGAGUUGUUUGGGAAUGCAGCUCAAAAUGGGUGGUAAAUUCCAUCUAAAGCUAAAUAUUGGCCAGAGACCGAUAGCGAACAAGUACCGUGAGGGAAAGAUGAAAAGCACUUUGGAAAGAGAGUUAAACAGUACGUGAAAUUGUUGAAAGGGAAACGCUUGAAGUCAGUCGCGUUGGCCGAGACUCAGCCUGGCUUGCCUGGUGUACUUCUCGGUUGACGGGUCAGCAUCAGUUUUGACCGUCGGAUAAAGGUUGGAGGAAUGUGGCAUCCCUCGGGAUGUGUUAUAGCCUCUGAUUCGCAUACGGCGAUUGGGACUGAGGAACUCAGCACGCCUUUAUGGUCGGGGUUCGCCCACGUAACGUGCUUAGGAUGCUGGCAUAAUGGCUUUAAGCGACCCGUCUUGAAACACGGACCAAGGAGUCUAACAUGCCCGCGAGUGUUUGGGUGUUAAACCCGAGCGCGUAAUGAAAGUGAAAGUUGAGAUC